rnacentral:tRNA from 1 species
CAAAGGGUAGUUUAUAUAAAAUAUUAAUUUUGGGGAUUAAUGAUGAGAAAAUUUCUUUCCUUUGA